UUUAAAACCUGAGGCUACGGGGGCUUGUUCUGAAGGCGGGUCACGUCGGAAACCAGACAAAGAGCCGCCCAACACUCAGGGCAGUGAGAACCCAACGCCGCCGGCUUCCCGUCGGCCAGCAGCGACGCUGCCCCUGUCCGUCCUCGUCCCCUUCCUUCCCUGUCCUCAGGCUCCUGGUCGUCAGCCUCCAAAGGGCUCGGCAACAUCUUUUUUUCAGCCCCGCGCUGUUCUCACUAGAACAGCUAUCAGACAGGCUCUUCGAAGGCCUCCGGCUGUCCACGGGAUUGCCGCCCCGGCCACCGCGGGCCGAGGAGAAAGCUGCUCAAGGUCUUCGUGGGGGCGACGCCGCCGCGGCCCACGGGAAGGCGGCCGAGCCCCGCCCCCGGCCGCCCGCUCGGCCAAUCGGCGCCCGCCGCCCUGACUGACGGCCCCGCCGCCCGCUCACCCGGACGCCCCGCGCGGGGCGCCGAAGCGGGCGGGCGGCGCCGAGGCCCGGGCUGGACCAGCGGCGCCCCGCGACCCCGCCGCCCGGACCGUCGUCCGCCCCGCUUCCCGCCGGCCGCCGCGCGCCCGCUCCUGUGCAAACGCGCUUCUCUCAGACAGUCCCCAGUGUGCUCGAAGGCUCCGCGGCCCCAGGAGGGCCGGCUGCCUUCCGCCGCGUCCUCCCAGGCCCGGCCGCCGGAGCCCCAGGACCGAAAUCCAUCCCGACGGCCUCGAUGCGGGGCCACCGGGGAGGGGACACGACCCUCGGGGCGCAGCUCGCAGCCCCACCCUCCGUGUCGGUCACCGGUGCGCAGGGGCAGCCUGCAGUGAAGGACGGGAAGAGGGCAGUUCCUACUGUCCCUGCAGUUUUUAAAAUGUGCAGAUACUCUUCACUAAAAAAGAAGCACAAAUCACAUUCCUAUUUUCGGAAAAGAGACACGGGCGAAAGUUUUAAAUAAUACACGAUUUCCGAGGCCAGCACAUUGACUCUGUAUCUGGCCAUAUUUCAUCUAGCAGGCUUGACUGUGCUAACUCCGGAAAUGAAAUUAUAGCACUCAGAGGGCCAUCCCAAUGAAUCUUUGAGAAAGGAAAAAAAAAAAAAAGGAAAUCCCUGUAAAAACAGAUAUCGUCAGAAUUGUCACAAUAUAUGUUAUAGUACUUUGCUGGGACCUUGAGAACUUUUCAUCCUAGAAGAAGGAGCAUCUGAAGAAAUGGUUUUAACCCCAGGACAUAGAAAGAGC
ensembl:lncRNA